CUCGGAGUCAGUCGGGAUUGUUCGGUUUUCCUCGGAAAUCUGAGGCAGUGGUCGUUAAUUUUGUGGUUUUCCUCGAAUAUUUGGGGUCGGUCAAUACUUUUGCGGGGAUUUUAGUUCCCAAAUAUUCCGCCACAUGGCGCUAGCUGUAUCGGCGAGUGCGGUCACGUGACCUGACCACGUGACGUCAUCGCGCGACGAAAUAGGGGCGGACAAUUAAUUUACCGCGCCCGCACCCAUCCAGGGGCGGCACAAAUGAAAAAUAUUUUUAAAAACUGGGAAAAAAUUGUUAAAAUUCGGAAAAAAUUAGAAAACAAUUAGAAAACAAUUAGGAAUACACCUGGGAUGGUUUGACUCUGAUUAAUUAACCGGAGAUGGAGGAAAAAAUCUGAAUAAUUCUGGAAAAAUGGGGAAAACAUCAAAACAUCAUUCUGACACUCUGAAAUUGAAU